UCACUGGUGGCUCAAACGGUAAAGCAUCUGCCUGCAAUGCGGGAGACCCAGGUUCGAUUCCUGGGUCGGGAA
rnacentral:tRNA from 1 species